UACAGAGGUCUCAAGCGUUGUUCGGAUUCAUUGGGCGUAAAGGGUGCGUAGGCGGCGCGGUAAGUCGGGUGUGAAAUCUCGGAGCUUAACUCCGAAACUGCAUUCGAUACUGCCGUGCUUGAGGACUGGAGAGGAGACUGGAAUUUACGGUGUAGCGGUGAAAUGCGUAGAUAUCGGGAGGAACACCGGUGGCGAAGGCGGUUCUCUGGGCCUGUACUGACGCUCAUGCACGAAAGCGUGGGGAGCAAACAGG
rnacentral:rRNA from 1 species